rnacentral:rRNA from 1 species
AUUGAACGCUGGCGGCAUGCUUUACACAUGCAAGUCGAACGGCAGCGCGGGCUUCGGCCUGGCGGCGAGUGGCGAACGGGUGAGUAAUGCAUCGGAACGUGCCCAGUAGUGGGGGCUAGCCCGGCGAAAGACGGAUUAAUAACGCAUCCGACUUGAGGGUGAAAGCGGGGGGCCGAAAGGCCUGGCGUUUUUGGAGCGGCCGAUGUUGGGUUCGCUAGUUGGUGGGGUAAAGGCUUAGCAAGCCAAGGAUCCGUAGGUGGUCUGAGAGGACGACCCGCCACACUGCGACUGUGACACGGCCCAGACUCCAACGGGAGGCAGCAGUGGGGAAUUUUGGACAAUGGGGGCAACCCUGAUCCAGCCAUGCCGCGUGCGGGAAGAAGGCCUUCGGGUUGUAAACCGCUUUUGUUCGGGAAGAAAUCCUCUGGGCUAAUACCCCGGGGGGAUGACGGUACCGGAAGAAUAAGCACCGGCUAACUACGUG